rnacentral:rRNA from 1 species
UACGGAGGAUCCAAGCGUUAUCCGGAUUUAUUGGGUUUAAAGGGUGCGUAGGCGGCCUGUUAAGUCAGGGGUGAAAGACGGUAGCUCAACUAUCGCAGUGCCCUUGAUACUGAUGGGCUUGAAUAAACUUGAGGUAGGCGGAAUGAGACAAGUAGCGGUGAAAUGCAUAGAUAUGUCGCAGAACACCAAUUGCGAAGGCAGCUUACUAAGGUAUAAUUGACGCUGAGGCACGAAAGCGUGGGGAUCAAACAGG